UACGUAUGGUGCAAGCGUUAUCCGGAUUUACUGGGUGUAAAGGGAGCGUAGACGGAUAGGCAAGUCUGGAGUGAAAACCCGGGGCUCAACCCCGGGACUGCUUUGGAAACUGUUUAUCUAGAGUGCUGGAGAGGUAAGUGGAAUUCCUAGUGUAGCGGUGAAAUGCGUAGAUAUUAGGAGGAACACCAGUGGCGAAGGCGGCUUACUGGACAGUAACUGACGUUGAGGCUCGAAAGCGUGGGGAGCAAACAGG
rnacentral:rRNA from 1 species